rnacentral:tRNA from 1 species
UUCCGAAAUAGCUCAGUGGUAGAGCAAUCGGCUGUUAACCGAUCGGUCGUAGGUUCGAGUCCUACUUUCGGAGU